UCAAAUCCCAAAGAGUAAGCACUCCCCUUGAAGACCCAGACACGAACCAAUUCCCGCAUGGGCUUGUCACCAAAGAAGACACGUAUCCUUCUUCAGGGUUUGCUUUCAGCGUCCACGCAUCUAUAUCUGAUCUUGUAUCCCAAAGGUGGAUCCCACAGUUUUGGGUACUAUACAUUACCAUAGGGCCAGAUAGGCUAUCAGAGGUGUAGUUCAAAAGAGAAAGCAAAGCGCCUUCUUUAACAUCCUUGUUUUUGAUAUCAACAAUGCCUGAGUACUUCUCCACCACGUUCCCCAAGCCUCUGGAGAUAUGGUCAAUGGAAAACAUAUGUAACACACCAUCGGAGGCUCCAACGACAACUUGAGUUGAAUUCCUAAGCAUUGUUGUGCACAUCCCUCUGCUUCCCUCGAGAUGAUAUGUUAGCCUUGACCUGAACGAAAUGUCCUUUUCCAGCUUUCUAGAGUCCCACACCUUUACUGUAGAAUCAUCUGAUGCACUAACAAAGAAGCUAUGAUCGCUUGAAGUGGCAAUGUCGUUGACAGCAGAGCGGUGCUCUUGUAGAUGAGCGACUAAUACUCCACGAGGCUUCCAACCUGAAUCCGGAACCGACGUCCUCGACGGAGAUGGUUCUCCUACGAGAUCCGAUAUUGAAAGAGACAGAGUUUAUCAUAUUACGUAAGUGUACACGAAGCUGACGUCACAUAAGCAGAUAAUGAUAUAAAAGCCCAUUGGGCCAAUAUGGUGAAUUGAAUGGGCUUCUGAACUAUAAAAGCGGUUAAACACCAACUCAAAUAAUGGCGGGGAUUCUAACUAAGAAUAACAAUUUAAGCCCAUUAAGAGAUCACUAAUGGGCCGUAUCCGAACUGAUCGUCAUCGUCCUCAUCACUUAAAUAUCAUUCACGGAAGAAAACCCUAGUCCAUCAAAAGCUGUCGUCGUCACACAUUUGCCGGAGGUAGCGCCGAUCCAUUCGUCAAAACAACUAUGGGUGAGUUCUCUUGAGUCUGUUCUGGCUGAUUUUUUGUUGUUGUUGUUGAUGUUACUGACGUUUUUAUCUUUGAUUUGUUGUGCAAUGUUUUAGGUAAGGUUCACGGUUCAUUGGCUCGUGCCGGUAAGGUGAGAGGACAGACACCUAAAGUCGCUAAGCAGGACAAGAAGAAGAAGCCACGUGGUCGUGCUCACAAGCGUCUUCAGCACAACCGCCGUUUCGUCACCGCCGGUAAUAAAUAUUUUCCCUUUUUCUCUUAGAUUUUAUGACUGAUUAAGGACAUUAGUUAGUUGGCACUUGUGUCUGAAUACAUUAUCGUUAUUGAAUAAUGUAAUCGUUGCUAGUACUUAUGGUUCUUCUUGGUAACAUAUCCACAGUUUAUAAAGUCUUGUAUAACAUAUGUUAGUGAUUCUCUUCUUUGCUAGCAUGUUAAGAGUAUCAGCCUCUGUAAUGAUUCUUGUUAACCAAACUAACUACAUUGUACAUACAAAGAAACCAUCACGGUCCAUUUUCUAGAUUCAUUCAACCAAGUUGUAUGUGCAUUUAAUUUCCGUUUUGUAGAUUCCUCCAUUUUUGGUUUACAUCCUAUAUAGCUUAUCAUAUGUGAAAUGAGACUUUUGUAAUUUGCAGUGAAUUUUUGUUGCUUAUGAAUAUUUAAUUGUCACAAAAAAGUAUAAACUUCAACACUAAACAAAGUGAUUCUUAAAAGUUUUUUCUUGAUUUCUUGUUUGCAGUUGUUGGAUUUGGCAAGAAGAGAGGACCCAACUCUUCUGAGAAAUAGAUGAUGAACGCAUUGGAGUUGAAGUUUUGAGUUUUUAUUUUCCAAAAAAUAUCGUACUUCUUUAAUGUUGUAAGACUGCAAUUUUCUCAAUCAAAUCGACUUUUUUGAUAAUUUGUUCUAAUUCAUUCAAUGCUCGGUAACGUAAACUACAAACCUCAUCAUAGAAACUGCCUAGUCUAUGAAAAUCAUGUAACAUGGAGCCGUGGAGGGAUUAGUAUGAGCUGUAACGUAGUUUUAACUGCGGUAGAGUGAUUUAAAACAAGAAGCAAACUGUUAGUUUUAUCAUUUGUUUUAAUCAAACAAAAGAAAAGUUUUUACAAGUAAAUAAACAUAAGCUAAAGAUACAAAGCUAAAAAGUUUCUUUUAGCAUCUGAUGUUAACAAUAAAAGAAACGGUAGAGAAGAAGAAACACUAUAACAACACUGUACAUACAAAGGAAACCAUCACGGUUUUUCUUUUACUUCCAGACCUUGAUCGCUCCAUCUCUGCUGCUUGAUAUUAACAGUCUCUGGUUCAGCUUCACUGAUGCCAGAGACUGAACUGAGUCACGGUGACAUCCUGCUGUGUCUGUUGCAGCCGCUGCAAGUACUGCCUUUGCCGUCAGUUUGGUUGCCAGAGGCCGCCUCAUUGUCUCCUGCCAAAGACACACGAACAAUUGCAUUACAAAAGUUAGUCAAGCGCUUAACGAUAGUUAUAGUGUGGUGUGACCUUGAACUGUUACGAUUAGUGUGUUGCGUCUAAUCAAAGAUAAGAGUUAAUCAACGGACCUGAACAAACUGCACUCCAGAGUUGGUUUUGAGUUCGUAGAAAUCAUCAUUUACGACUCCCUUCAAACUCGGACCACAGAUACAGUAACUUCUCUCAGGGCUAUGUUGGUUCAAACACACAGAAAACAAGAAUUUGCGUCAGGUUUUUGUUUAUUUAUCCACAAGAAGUGUGACAAAAUAUAAAGAACACAAGUUCAAGGUUUUAGAUUAAAGAACCUGGAGUAAUCCCAACGCCGAAUCUUCAAGUCAGUACCACCUGUUAACAAGUCGCCUCCGGGUAAAGGAAGCAACGAGCGGAUACCAGGAAGACGAGGAGGAGGCUCGUUCAACUCUUCGAUUCUAUACUUGGAGCUCAUGUUCUUGCGAAUAUUCGCCUUGGGAUUUGCCUUACUGCUUGGUAGCUUCCACUGAAACUCGGAAACAUUCGUCUCAUUUUCAUAGUUGGCUACUCUCCAUACCUACAGAAUCAGCUCAUUUAUAAGUCUCAAACUCAAUGCUAUGGUCUAAUUUAUUAAAACCUGAGUUACUUCCAUGGACUAACAUCAAAGUUGAAACCCCCAAUGACUAUUAAAACUAUCUAAAUCUGUUCCACUCUAUAGUUCAUAGUUUCUAUUCAAACUUGUAAGAUCCCAGUAAAAUGGUAAAACAACAUUACCUGUUGACAGAUGCCUCCAUCUGCAUUCCAGAGCGUAACUUCAUUGAAACCAGCAGCAACAUAAAUAAAAGGUCUCAUCGUGGUGGACAGCGAGACGCUCGGAGGAAGAAAGCAGAGACACAUCUUUUCUAUGGGGCAUAUUAUAGGGUAUUGCCACGAAUAUACAGGAACACGAAACCUCAAAUCCCAAAGAGUAAGCACUCCCCUUGAAGACCCAGACACGAACCAAUUCCCGCAUGGGCUUGUCACCAAAGAAGACACGUAUCCUUCUUCAGGGUUUGCUUUCAGCGUCCACGCAUCUAUAUCUGAUCUUGUAUCCCAAAGGUGGAUCCCACAGUUUUGGGUACUAUACAUUACCAUAGGGCCAGAUAGGCUAUCAGAGGUGUAGUUCAAAAGAGAAAGCAAAGCGCCUUCUUUAACAUCCUUGUUUUUGAUAUCAACAAUGCCUGAGUACUUCUCCACCACGUUCCCCAAGCCUCUGGAGAUAUGGUCAAUGGAAAACAUAUGUAACACACCAUCGGAGGCU
rnacentral:lncRNA from 1 species